CUAUUAUUUAUUAUUUAAUAAAUUUUUGAAUAGUACUAGAUAUGACCUUGAAAACUCAAAUGAUUUGGCGGUAAUUUAAUUCUUAUUAGAGGAAUAUGUAUUAUAAUUGAUAAUCCACGAUAUUUUUAACCAAAUUUUCAUUUGUAUACCUCUAUUUAGAAAAUUUUUAGAUAAAUUUUCGUUUCUUUUUUGUUUAGUUAAUUUUAGGUCAAGGUGCAGUUAUUUUUUUGGGAAAUAUGUAUUACUUUAAUUUUAUAUUUUUUUAAUUAGUUUUCCUUAAUGAAUUUUGUUUAAAAGGAUUUAAUAGUAAAUUUAACUAAUUAGUUCUUUUGAAUAUGUUCUAAUUUAUGUACACU
rnacentral:rRNA from 1 species